rnacentral:rRNA from 1 species
AGUGGACGCAUCACUGGUGUUCGGGUUGUCAUGCCAAUGGCAUUGCCCGGUAGCUAAAUGCGGAAAAGAUAAGUGCUGAAAGCAUCUAAGCACGAAACUUGCCCCGAGAUGAGUUCUCCCUGACUCCCUGAGAGUCCUGAAGGAACGUUGAAGACUACGACGUUGAUAGGUCGGGUGUGUAAGCGUAGCGAUACGUUGAGCUAACCGAUACUAAUGAACCGUGAGGCUUAACCUU